UACGUAGGGUGCGAGCGUUGUCCGGAAUUAUUGGGCGUAAAGAGCUCGUAGGCGGUCUGUCGCGUCGGCUGUGAAAUCCCGAGGCUCAACCUCGGGUCUGCAGUCGAUACGGGCAAACUGGAGUGUUGCAGGGGAGACUGGAAUUCCUGGUGUGGCGGUGAAAUGCGCAGAUAUCAGGAGGAACACCGGUGGCGAAGGCGGGUCUCUGGGCAACAACUGACGCUGAGGAGCGAAAGCGUGGGGAGCGAACAGG
rnacentral:rRNA from 1 species